AACUUUGCGCAGUGGCAAUAUCGUAACCAAUGAAGUUAAUCUGAGGUGCGAUUAUUGCUAGUUGAAAACUUUUAACCAAUACCCCGCCGUUCUGAUGUGAAAUACCAUCAGAAUAGGCAAUUUUUGAGCGUUCCUUUGGGAG